GGGAGUGUGGUCUAGUGGUAUGAUUCUCGCUUUGGGUUUCGACCUUCCGAGGUCGAGGACAAACAUGCGAGAGGCCCAGGGUUCAAUUCCCUGCUCUCCCC